rnacentral:ribozyme from 12 species
GAUACAAAAAAAAAAAAAAAAAAAAAGGGGAAAAAGACCAACGAAACACUAUAAGAUGCCUGAGAGAUCCCCUUUUCUCAGCAUCCCUUUCUCUCCUUUCUCGCCACCCUCUUCCUC